rnacentral:rRNA from 1 species
UAGCAUAUCAAUAAGCGGAGGAAAAGAAACUAACAAGGAUUCCCCUAGUAACUGCGAGUGAAGCGGGAAAAGCUCAAAUUUAAAAUCUGGCAGUCUUUGGCUGUCCGAAUUGUAUUCUGGAGAAGCGUUUUCCGCGCUGGACCGUGUACAAGUCUCUUGGAAUAGAGCGUCAUAGAGGGUGAGAAUCCCGUCUUUGACACGGACUACCAGUGCUUUGUGAUGCGCUCUCAAAGAGUCGAGUUGUUUGGGAAUGCAGCUCAAAAUGGGUGGUGAAUUCCAUCUAAAGCUAAAUAUUGGCGAGAGACCGAUAGCGAACAAGUACCGUGAGGGAAAGAUGAAAAGCACUUUGGAAAGAGAGUUAAACAGUACGUGAAAUUGCUGAAAGGGAAACGCUUGAAGUCAGUCGCGUCAUUCAGAACUCAGCCUGGCUUUUGCCUGGUGUACUUUCUGGUUGACGGGCCAGCAUCAGUUUUGACCGCUGGAAAAAGGCCAUGGGAAUGUGGCACCUUCGGGUGUGUUAUAGCCUGUGGUCAUAUACAGCGGUUGGGACUGAGGACCGCAGCACGCCUUUAUGGUUGGGGUGUUCGCCCACAUUUGUGCUUAGGAUGCUGGCGUAAUGGCUUUAAACGACCCGUCUUGAAACACGGACCAAGGAGUCUAACAUGCCUGCGAGUGUUUGGGUGGAAAACCCGAGCGCACAAUGAAAGUGAAAGUUGGGAUCCCUGUCGUGGGGAGCACCGACGCCCGGACCAGACCUUUUGUGACGGAUCCGCGGUAGAGCAUGUAUGUUGGGACCCGAAAGAUGGUGAACUAUGCCUGAAUAGGGUGAAGCCAGAGGAAACUCUGGUGGAGGCUCGUAGCGAUUCUGACGUGCAAAUCGAUCGUCAAAUUUGGGUAUAGGGGCGAAAGACUAAUCGAACCAUCUAGCAGCUAGAUUCCUGCCGAGU